CUUGGUCAUUUAGAGGAAGUAAAAGUCGUAACAAGGUCUCCGUUGGUGAACCAGCGGAGGGAUCAUUACCGAGUUUACAACUCCCAAACCCCUGUGAACAUACCUAUCGUUGCUUCGGCGGGACCGCCCCGGCGCCCCCGGGCCCGGACCCAGGCGCCCGCCGGAGGACCCAAACUCUUGUUUUUCUGAAGUAUCUUCUGAGUGACACAAGCAAAUAAAAUCAAAACUUUCAACAACGGAUCUCUUGGUUCUGGCAUCGAUGAAGAACGCAGCGAAAUGCGAUAAGUAAUGUGAAUUGCAGAAUUCAGUGAAUCAUCGAAUCUUUGAACGCACAUUGCGCCCGCCAGUAUUCUGGCGGGCAUGCCUGUUCGAGCGUCAUUUCAACCCUCAAGCCCCCGGGCUUGGUGCUGGGGAUCGGCCGUCAUGGGCCGGCCCCGAAAUCGAUUGGCGGUCUCGCUGUAGCCUCCUCUGCGUAGUAGCAACACCUCGCACUGGAACGCGGCGCGGCCACGCCGUAAAACCCCAACUUCUGAAAGGUUGACCUCGGAUCAGGUAGGAAUACCCGCUGAACUUAAGCAUAUCAAUAAGCGGAGGAAAAGAAACCAACAGGGAUUGCCCUAGUAACGGCGAGUGAAGCGGCAACAGCUCAAAUUUGAAAUCUGGCCUCUGGCCCGAGUUGUAAUUUGUAGAGGAUGCUUUUGGUGAGGUGCCUUCCGAGUUCCCUGGAACGGGACGCCAUAGAGGGUGAGAGCCCCGUCUGGUCGGACACCGAUCCUCUGUAAAGCUCCUUCGACGAGUCGAGUUGUUUGGGAAU
rnacentral:sRNA from 1 species